GCCGAGUCCCCUGUGUUGGAGAGAAUGCUAAUCGAUCGACAGUUUCUUGAUCAAGAACAGCUCGAUAGAAGAUUACAGAUAUUCGCAGAGAUAUCAAAUUUUUCGCGGGCAUCGCCUAAAGCAGAAAUUGUCUACAUAGAUUUACGCGGAUCUUUGGCUUAGAAGUUGAAAGACUGAAAAGAGAAACAAACUUAAUGUAGUAGUAUGACAUACUCGUUUAUUUCUUUACUUGAUCAAUUGCAUGUA
rnacentral:misc_RNA from 1 species